UGGGGAAUAUUGGACAAUGGGGGCAACCCUGAUCCAGCGAUGCCGCGUGGGUGAAGAAGGCCUUCGGGUUGUAAAGCCCUUUAGAUUGGGAAGAAGUGUAUCUGGUGAAUAGCCAGGUAUGUUGACGGUACCGAUAGAAUAAGCACCGGCAAACUCUGUGCCAGCAGCCGCGGUAAUACAGAGGGUGCGAGCGUUAAUCGGAGUUACUGGGCGUAAAGGGCGCGUAGGCGGUAAGAUGUGUGUGAUGUGAAAGCCCCGGGCUUAACCUGGGAAGUGCAUCGCAAACUAUUUAACUAGAGUAUAUGAGAGGGUGGCGGAAUUUCCGGUGUAGCGGUGAAAUGCGUAGAGAUCGGAAGGAACGUCAAUGGCGAAGGCAGCCACCUGGCAUAAUACUGACGCUGAGGCGCGAAAGCGUGGGGAGCGAACAGG
rnacentral:rRNA from 1 species